rnacentral:tRNA from 1 species
CACCGCAUAGUGUAGUGGUUAGCACGCUCGAUUAACAAUCGAGAGGGCCGGGUUCGAGUCCCGCGGCGGUGA